rnacentral:rRNA from 1 species
CUGGCGGCAGGCUUAACACAUGCAAGUCGAGCGGAGAGAGGUAGCUUGCUACUGAUCUUAGCGGCGGACGGGUGAGUAAUGCUUAAGAAUCUGCCUAUUAGUGGGGGACAACAUUUCGAAAGGAAUGCUAAUACCGCAUACGUCCUACGGGAGAAAGCAGGGGAUCUUCGGACCUUGCGCUAAUAGAUGAGCCUAAGUCGGAUUAACUAGUUGGUGGGGUAAAGGCCUACCAAGGCGACGAUCUGUAGCGGGUCUGAGAGGAUGAUCCGCCACACUGGGAUUGAGACACGGCCCAGACUCCUACGGGAGGCAGCAGUGGGGAAUAUUGGACAAUGGGCGCAAGCCUGAUCCAGCCAUGCCGCGUGUGUGAAGAAGGCCUUAUGGUUGUAAAGCACUUUAAGCGAGGAGGAGGCUACUUUAGUUAAUACCUAAAGAUAGUGGACGUUACUCGCAGAAUAAGCACCGGCUAACUCUGUGCCAGCAGCCGCGGUAAUACGGAGGGUGCAAGCGUUUAAUCGGAUUUACUGGGGCGUAAAGCGCGCGUAAGCCGGCUAAUUUAAGUCAAAUGUGAAAUCCCCNANCUUAACUUGGGGAAUUGCAUUC